UAACUUGCUUUCAAUCAAGUUACUAAGCCUGAUGUAGCUAUGAACUGGAAGAUGUUGUCGAUAAAUAGAAAUAUGUUUUAUUCAUUAACAUCUUGAAAAUAUUCCACCGUAGUUUGGUCAGUCAAACCACUCCAAAAUCCUUUAUUAUUAUUAUUAUUAUUAUUAUUAUUAUUAUUAUUAUUAUUAUUGAUCUGAGAGUUACUUCUUCUGAUCUAUUUUUUUGCCCAUAUUAGGUAUUGGUAUGCACUCCAAUUUUGUUCUCUCUAUAGAGAAGAUAUAUAAUAGACAUUUGUAAUCAAUCAUUUACCUCUUGGAGGAGAAGUAAUAGUAUUUCAUUGUUCCAAGUAUAUAUGGAUUAAUGAAAAUAAAAUCCAUGUAUUAGAAAAGAAAAUUAUCCAUGAUGUCGAAAGUUUAGGCUGCGAACCCUUUGUUUUCUUGAACUCAUCUUCACAUCCUGAUUUAAAGGUGGCUCAACCCUUAGGCAGGUGAGACAUUGCCUAAGGUCCUAUAUUUAUACAAGGCCACAAUUUUAGAACAUUUUCCCCUCUUUCUACUAACUAAUAGAACAGUUAUUGUAAGAGUUUUUCCUACAGUACCCAAAUUGCUUGAGCUCGCUCCAUUGAUCUUGGUAACUUUCUUGGAGAUUCCAUCCCAACAUAAAUACUAAUGAGUUCAUACCCAAAUGGUUGUGUGGCAAUUUUGAUACUCAGUACCAGAUAGAGAUGGCAAUUUAGCUCUCGCGGCUCAGGCUGCCCAUGGCUCGAUUGGGAAAAAGCCUGAUCUAGCCCAACUCGAGGCUCAACCUGAGCCCUCAUUUUGGGUAUCGAGCUGAGCCCCGAGCUGGCUCGUUAAAAAAAAAAA